AUUGAACGCUGGCGGCAUGCUUUACACAUGCAAGUCGAACGGCAGCGCGGGCUUCGGCCUGGCGGCGAGUGGCGAACGGGUGAGUAAUGCAUCGGAACGUGCCCAGUAGUGGGGGAUAGCCCGGCGAAAGCCGGAUUAAUACCGCAUACGACCUGAGGGUGAAAGCGGGCGACCGAAAGGCCUCGCGCUAUUGGAGCGGCCGAUGUCGGAUUAGCUAGUUGGUGGGGUAAAGGCUUACCAAGGCGACGAUCCGUAGCUGGUCUGAGAGGACGACCAGCCACACUGGGACUGAGACACGGCCCAGACUCCUACGGGAGGCAGCAGUGGGGAAUUUUGGACAAUGGGGGCAACCCUGAUCCAGCCAUGCCGCGUGCGGGAAGAGGGCCUUCGGGUUGUAAACCGCUUUUGUUCGGGAAGAAAUCCUCUGGGCUAAUACCCCGGGGGGAUGACGGUACCGGAAGAAUAAGCACCGGCUAACUACGUG
rnacentral:rRNA from 1 species